rnacentral:rRNA from 1 species
AUUGAACGCUGGCGGUAUGCUUAACACAUGCAAGUCGAACGGUAACAGGCUUUCGGGCGCUGACGAGUGGCGGACGGGUGAGUAACGCGUGGGAGUCUGUCACGAAGUGGGGAACAACCACUGGAAACGGUGGCUAAUACCGCAUGUGCCCCGAGGGGCAAAGGUCGAAAGGCCGCUUUGUGAGGAGCCCGCGUCCGAUUAGCUAGUUGGUGGGGUAACGGCCUACCAAGGCUCCGAUCGGUAGCUGGUCUGAGAGGAUGAUCAGCCACACUGGGACUGAGACACGGCCCAGACUCCUACGGGAGGCAGCAGUGGGGGAAUAUUGGACAAUGGGCGAAAGCCUGAUCCAGCAAUGCCGCGUGAGUGAAGAAGGCCUCGG